AGGGAACAUACUACAUGACAAUCUCAACAAAUAGUAACUGUAACAGCAAAGUUUUCCAGCAUCUUGAAGUGUUAAGGUCCAUUUUCAGUUUUCACUCAAGAAAAUGUUCUUGACUACUUGAGUGGAAAUGAGCAUAUAUCUUGACUACUUGAGUGGAAAUGAGCAUAUAUAUAUAUAUAUAUAUAUAUAUAUAUAUAUAUAUAUAUAUAUAUAUAUA